rnacentral:rRNA from 1 species
UUGGAGGGCAAGUCUGGUGCCAGCAGCCGCGGUAAUUCCAGCUCCAAUAGCGUAUAUUAAAGUUGUUGCAGUUAAAAAGCUCGUAGUUGAAUUUCGGGAUCAAUUUAUCGGUCGUGCCUACGGUAUGAACUGGUACAAUUGGUUUCUCCCUUCUGACGAAGCAUGAUGUCAUUAAUUUGGUGUCGUGGGGAAUCAGGACUGUUACUUUGAAAAAAUUAGAGUGUUUAAAGCAAGCAUUAGCUUGAAUACAUUAGCAUGGAAUAAUGAAAUAGGACGUUUGAUCCUAUUUCGUUGGUUUCUAGGAUCGACGUAAUGAUUAAUAGGGAUAGUUGGGGGCAUUAGUAUUCAAUUGUCAGAGGUGAAAUUCUUGGAUUUAUUGAAGACUAACUAUUUCGAAAGCAUUUGCCAAGGAUGUUUUCAUUAAUCAAGAACGAAAGUUAGGGGAUCGAAGACGAUCAGAUACCGUCGUAGUCUUAACCAUAAACUAUGCCGACUAGGGAUCGGAUGAUGUUAAUUUUUUAAUGACUCAUUCGGCGCCUUACGGGAAAC